CGGCAGGAGGACCCCGGCCAAAGAGCGAAUGUGAGAAGAAGGGGGAGGAGCGCCGGGAAGGCCUGGGGCCCGGGCUGCCCGGGGUCCAGCCUUGGCCCAAGACGUGAUCUAAUUCUCAUGCUGCUGUGGGCAGAGCACAUGGCAUCAGAAUGCUGGGAGCUGCUGUCUGUCGCCAUGGGAGGGAAUUCCCCAGCUCAGGAAAACUCUUCCAACGGAAGGGAGCAGGUGGCAAGCCUCCCUGAAGAGACAGACGCUGCCAACGCUGCAGGCAGAGCCAAUCGUGUGGUGGCUAACAGAUUUUUCCAGCAACAGAGCUGAGAGGAUUAGAAUCUGGGAGAAGAAAGAGCUCUGCAUUCUUGGCUUCACCUGUCUGGAGUGGAGCUGACAUCAUGCUGAGCUGGAGGUGCAGGGGGCCAGGGAAGGACAAAUCCCUCACCUGUUGUGGGAGAGGCGUGACUGGAACUGUUGCACACUCCCGUCUCACUCAAGCCUCACAACAGCCCUCAAGGGAAGUUAUCAGGGCCAUUUUGAAGAUGCAGCCAAGCUGCAGAGUUUCGUCUUCCAAUGAAGCUUCCCUGACUCCCUCUGAGAGUGACUGCUCCUUUUCUGCACACCCUCAUGUCCCAGAAUCAAUGGCCUGACCCUUCUGCUUCUCCAACCAUACUCAGACACCCUCCUCCAAGUGCCCACACCAUAGUCCUGCACACAGAUCCUUAAGCAGCUUCAUUCCGUAUGUUUUAAUGUUUAUUUAAAUUUAUUUGUAUUAUCUUUCCAUCAACAUAUAUUAUUUUUCUUUACCUUCUUUUAUAAUAUUGGGUUUUUAUCCCAUCCAUGCAUGUCCAAAUUGUCAAAAAUUUAGGAAAGAAUAAAAAUUACCCCAAAUUGCCACAGAUAAUCAUAUUAACAUUUUGGUAGAUUAUUUUUUUUCUUUUGAGUCUGGUGUCUAUAGACAUAUGCAUUUUACAGAGUUCAGAUUACACUGUAUGAAUAGUUCUAAAGACUGCUUUUAAAAAUC